AGGCUUAAGAAUGGGCAUUUUUUAAAACAAAUUUCCCAAGUCAUCCUAAUGUGCACUAAAAUUUGAGAACCUCUGUCCUAGACACAGUAAGCUCUAGGAAUUAAUGUUCACGAAGCCUCAUUCAGAACCUAGCAUACUGCCUGGCCCUGGGAGCUUGCCAUUCUUUCUACAUACAAUGUGUGAAUAACUGAACAGUUGAUGAAUCCAUACGGGGAUUUACGAAGUCCAGGGCAGUACCUCCCUCUGUUCUUGUGAUCUGCUCAGCACUCCUGACAGGGGUAGAGGGGCCACCAAGUAGAGUUGUGAGAUUGAGCAAAAAAAAUACAAAGCACCCAGUUAAAUUUGUAUUUUGAAUAACUAAUAGUUUUUAAUAUGUCUCUUGCAAUAUUUGGUGACUAGCCCCAGAGUAUAUAGUCCUAGACUGACCCAGUAUCUUCUCUUGGCUGGUGUCCCCUCCCAACCACAAAGGGAACAGAUGCUUCUGGGUACAGAGGAUCUCGGCAGUGAAGCCAGAGUGACUUCCUGUGUGCCUCUAGUAGAACUGUCAGCUUUAUGCUUGAAAAGCAAGUGAGACUUAAAAGAAUGAGAACUAAGAACAUCAGCUCCAAGUAAAAGCCGCGGCUCGCCAGGCUUUUAGAGGAGGACGCUCAGGGAGCCGAAGUAGGAAGAUGGCUUACACAAGAGAGGGCACAGAGACAACAGUGUUGCUCAAAACUUUAACCUCCUAGUGAUGAAACUGGCAAACAGCCAUUGAUGAUUAAGUAUCUAGGUACUAAAGUUUUUUUCCUUUUUGCAAUUACUGAUUAUAGCUUUUAGCUGUUUAAUCUACCCAUUGUUAACUUUGCUGCUUAAGCAAUAUGCUAUCUGACUCCCACUAGGUUCCUAUAGAUAACAUCUUCCUGGAGCCUGGGUCACCAUGGUAAUGGGUGUGUGAGCUGUUUUUCAGAAAUUAGAACUCCUUGUCCACUUCAGGCCUGUUGAAACCACCAACUCAUCAACUCGGCCCAUGCAGAUGUCCAAUAGGCGACCUUUUGACAUCAAGAGGCUAAAAACUCCAUCCUCAGAUCAUGCUAAUGCUGCCAUUUUGUGAACAUGGGUCCUAUGAAGAGGCAUGAAGUCUGACUACGCUUGCACAGAGCAUCAAUUACCUCACCUCCAAUCACCUCUCUCCACAUUUUAGACCACCUUGCCCCCAUCCCAUAAAUAUCCCUGAGUCCCUAUUUUUGGGGAAGCAAAUUUGAAGCUCAUAUUCUUGUUUCCUCACAUUGCUGCCUUGUGAUUAAACUUACUCUCUGCUGCAAAUCUCAUCGUCUUGGUGUUCGGCUUUCUGGGUGGCAGGCAAAAAUGAACCUGGUGCAGUAACAGUGUUACCUAAGGA
rnacentral:lncRNA from 1 species